UACGGAGGGUGCAAGCGUUAUUCGGAAUUAUUGGGCGUAAGGGGCGCGUAGGCGGUCUUUUAAGUCAGGUGUGAAAUCCCGGGGCUCAACCCCGGAAGUGCAUUUGAAACUAAGGGACUUGAGUAUGGGAGAGGGAAGUGGAAUUCCUGGUGUAGAGGUGAAAUUCGUAGAUAUCAGGAGGAACACCGGUGGCGAAGGCGACUUCCUGGACCAAUACUGACGCUGAGGCGCGAAGGCGUGGGGAGCAAACAGG
rnacentral:rRNA from 1 species